AAUUCCACAUGGUUUGGAUGUGAUAAAUUAUCAUCUGUCUUUUGGUAUAUAAUAUAUUAAAGUAUAACAUUUGGAUGAUAUCGAAUUUUUAUGUGCCUCUUUAGUUUGCAGUCCCAAUUUCGACCUCUUCGAGGAAAUGUUUGAUGAAGGUAGCACUCCUAAUAUGAUUUUACUAACUUUUAGGAUUUCUAAAAUAUUAUUCUCUUCACCAACUAAUUUUGUCAUUCUGUGUGAAAAAGGUGGCAAUACUCUCGAGUUUGAAAACUGCAGGAUGAAAUGCUGAGACAUGUUUCUUUUGUCGAUUGCACGGUGUGAUGUGUUAUGCAUACCCUGCUGUUGGAAUGUUCUUGUGCUGUCAAUCUGAGAGUAAAUAAAAUUGCAGUUUGUUCAUUUUGCCGCUAAGGUUUGGGCAACUCGAUUGACAUUGUUUGGACUGUUAUCAAAGGUGCCUAUACCCCUUCCAAGUUCAACACUAUUCUUUUGUGACAAACACUAACCAACUAGUUGUUCUCAAUGGGCAUAUAUAAAAUAAGAUUAAUUUUAGUUACUUAGAUUAUAACAUUCAUGAUAAAUUACACAUAGUUACUUAAAAUUAAAAGAUUAAUUUUAGUUACUUAGAUUAAAACAUUUAUGAUCUGUUACUUAGAGGUACAAAGUAUGAGUUGUCAAAGAAUGUCUUUUA